UUCCAUCUCACCGUGCUGACCAGCGGCUCUGGGAUUCCAUCUCACCGUGCUGACCAGCGGCUCUGGGAUUCCAUCUCACCAUGCUGACCAGUGGCUCUGGGAUUCCAUCUCACCGUGCUGACCGACAGCUCUGGGAUUCCAUCUCACCGUGCUGACCGGCAGCUCUGGGAUUCCAUCUCACAUUGCUGACUGACGGCUCUGAGAUUCCAUCUCACCGUGCUGACCGGCGGCUCUGGGAUUCCGGCUUACCAAUAAUCAAUAGUCUAGGUGGCACAUUGCCUCCAGUAAACUCUUCAAUAGCAUGUAAUGGUGUGAGAGGACUGUCCACAGAGCUGACACUUGAUCUCCCUGUAAUCCACUGUAAGCGACCUACCCAGCCUCUGCCUGUGUUACAAUGAACCCAAUUGCACAAUACACAGAGCUCUUAUCAGCUCCAUCUACCAAAACUAAGUACUUCAUGGCGAUGUUGGAGGAAAGGUUUUACAGUUUCAGACAAUGAAAAAACCAAUGCCGGUCAAGGUUUGUGUUGUGACACUUUGCAGGGAAAGUACAGUUGCAAGAAAAAGUAUGUGAACCCUUUGGAAUGAUAUGGAUUUCUGCA